CAAACUGUCGAUUUGCCGGAAA
rnacentral:miRNA from 1 species